rnacentral:rRNA from 1 species
CUGCAGAAAAAGCGCCGGGCUAACUACGUGCCAGCAGCCGCGGUAAUACGUAGGGCGCAAGCGUUAUCUGGAAUUAUUGGGCGUAAAGAGCUCGUAGGCGGUCUGUCGCGUCUGCUGUGAAAACCCGAGGCUCAACCUCGGGCCUGCAGUGGGUACGGGCAGACUAGAGUGCGGUAGGGGAGAUUGGAAUUCCUGGUGUAGCGGUGGAAUGCGCAGAUAUCAGGAGGAACACCGAUGGCGAAGGCAGAUCUCUGGGCCGUAACUGACGCUGAGGAGCGAAAGGGUGGGGAGCAAACAGGCUUAGAUACCCUGGUAGUCCACCCCGUAAACGUUGGGAACUAGUUGUGGGGUCCAUUCCACGGAUUCCGUGACGCAGCUAACGCAUUAAGUUCCCCGCCUGGGGAGUACGGCCGCAAGGCUAAAACUCAAAGGAAUUGACGGGGACCCGCACAAGCGGCGGAGCAUGCGGAUUAAUUCGAUGCAACGCGAAGAACCUUACCAAGGCUUGACAUAUAGAGGAAACGUCUGGAAACAGUCGCCCCGCAAGGUCUCUAUACAGGUGGUGCAUGGUUGUCGUCAGCUCGUGUCGUGAGAUGUUGGGUUAAGUCCCGCAACGAGCGCAACCCUCGUUCUAUGUUGCCAGCACGUAAUGGUGGGAACUCAUGGGAUACUGCCGGGGUCAACUCGGAGGAAGGUGGGGAUGACGUCAAAUCAUCAUGCCCCUUAUGUCUUGGGCUUCACGCAUGCUACAAUGGCCGGUACAAAGGGCUGCAAUACCGUGAGGUGGAGCGAAUCCCAAAAAGCCGGUCCCAGUUCGGAUUGAGGUCUGCAACUCGACCUCAUGAAGUCGGAGUCGCUAGUAAUCGCAGAUCAGCAACGCUGCGGUGAAUACGUUCCCGGGUCUUGUACACACCGCCCGUCAAGUCAUGAAAGUCGGUAACACCUGAAGCCGGUGGCCCAACCCUUG